rnacentral:misc_RNA from 1 species
UGGAAGUAAAAAGUCGUAACAAGGUUUCCGUAGGUGAACCUGCGGAAGGAUCAUUACCGAGUGAGGGCCCUCUGGGUCCAACCUCCCACCCGUGUCUAUCGUACCUUGUUGCUUCGGCGGGCCCGCCGUUUCGACGGCCGCCGGGGAGGCCUUGCGCCCCCGGGCCCGCGCCCGCCGAAGACCCCAACAUGAACGCUGUUCUGAAAGUAUGCAGUCUGAGUUGAUUAUCGUAAUCAGUUAAAACUUUCAACAACGGAUCUCUUGGUUCCGGCAUCGAUGAAGAACGCAGCGAAAUGCGAUAAGUAAUGUGAAUUGCAGAAUUCAGUGAAUCAUCGAGUCUUUGAACGCACAUUGCGCCCCCUGGUAUUCCGGGGGGCAUGCCUGUCCGAGCGUCAUUGCUGCCCUCAAGCACGGCUUGUGUGUUGGGCCCCCGUCCCCCUCUCCCGGGGGACGGGCCCGAAAGGCAGCGGCGGCACCGCGUCCGGUCCUCGAGCGUAUGGGGCUUUGUCACCUGCUCUGUAGGCCCGGCCGGCGCCAGCCGACACCCAACUU